AUGCUUACUUCAAUGGCACAUAUACUAAAGUUAGAACAAUACAGAGAAGAUUAGCAUGGCCCCUGCACAAGGAUGACUAUAUAUAUAUAUAUACAUACACACACACAU